UACGUAGGGUGCGAGCGUUGUCCGGAAUUACUGGGCGUAAAGAGCUCGUAGGUGGUUUGUCGCGUUGUUCGUGAAAACCGGGGGCUUAACCCUCGGCGUGCGGGCGAUACGGGCAGACUUGAGUACUGCAGGGGAGACUGGAAUUCCUGGUGUAGCGGUGAAAUGCGCAGAUAUCAGGAGGAACACCGGUGGCGAAGGCGGGUCUCUGGGCCAUUACUGACGCUGAGGAGCGAAAGCGUGGGGAGCGAACAGG
rnacentral:rRNA from 1 species